rnacentral:rRNA from 1 species
GCGGCAUGCUUACACAUGCAAGUCGAACGGUAGAGUAGCAAUACUUGAGAGUGGCGAACGGGUGAGUAAUAUAUCGGAACGUGCCCAGUCGUGGGGGAUAACGUAGAGAAAUUUACGCUAAUACCGCAUACGAUCUACGGAUGAAAGCGGGGGAUUCGCAAGAACCUCGCGCGAUUGGAGCGGCUGAUAUCAGAUUAGGUUGUUGGUGAGGUAAAAGCUCACCAAGCCGACGAUCUGUAGCUGGUUUGAGAGAACGACCAGCCACACUGGGACUGAGACACGGCCCAGACUCCUACGGGAGGCAGCAGUGGGGAAUUUUGGACAAUGGGCGAAAGCCUGAUCCAGCAAUGCCGCGUGUGGGAAGAAGGCCUUCGGGUUGUAAACCACUUUUGUACGGAACGAAACGGUUCGCUUUAAUACAGUGGGCUAAUGACGGUACCGUAAGAAUAAGCACCGGCUAACUACGUGCCAGCAGCCGCGGUAAUACGUAGGGUGCGAGCGUUAAUCGGAAUUACUGGGCGUAAAGCGUGCGCAGGCGGUUAUAUAAGACAGUUGUGAAAUCCCCGGGCUCAACCUGGGAAUUGCAUCUGUGACUGUAUAGCUAGAGUACGGUAGAGGGGGAUGGAAUUCCGCGUGUAGCAGUGAAAUGCGU